UCCGUAGUAGCUCAGUCGGUAGUAGCGUUCGCCUGUUAAGCGAAAGGUCGGUGGAUCGUACCCACCCUACGGAG
rnacentral:tRNA from 1 species